CGACCUUGAUCCAUGUCCGGUGGAGGUCGCUCUCGUCGACGCCCUUGACCACCUCCUCCACGAAGUAGUGCGUGGGGUUGAAGUUCAUGUGCGGGCCGCGGGGGCUGGUGGCCCCCGUCGGCGACGCCCCCGCCGCCAGCGACUUCGGGUCCCCGCCGCCGCCUCCCACUCCCACUCCCCCUCCCCCUCCUCCUCCUCCGCCGCUGCCUCCCGCCGCGGUGCGGCUGUCCAGGAUCGCCUCCAGGUACCCAUUGAUCCACUCAUUCCCCGCCAUCCCCUACUUCUCGCUCUCUCCUCCGCCUCUACGCCGCUCUCUCAGAUCACUACAGGAGCAUUAACCCAACCGCCCACGCCUCUCUCCCUCCCACUUUUGCGUCUCGCGUGAACCCUUCC
rnacentral:lncRNA from 1 species